UACGUAGGGGUCAAGCGUUGUCCGGAUUUACUGGGCGUAAAGAGCGUGUAGGCGGCCAGGCAGGUCUGUUGUGAAAACUGGAGGCUCAACUUCCAGACGUCGACAGAAACCGCUUGGCUAGAGUCCGGAAGAGGAGAGUGGAAUUCCUGGUGUAGCGGUGAAAUGCGCAGAUAUCAGGAAGAACACCGAUGGCGAAGGCAGCUCUCUGGGACGGUACUGACGCUGAGACGCGAAAGCGUGGGGAGCGAACAGG
rnacentral:rRNA from 1 species